rnacentral:rRNA from 1 species
UACGGAGGGUGCAAGCGUUAUCCGGAUUUAUUGGGUUUAAAGGGUGCGCAGGCGGGACUUUAAGUCAGUGGUGAAAUCUCUUCGCUCAACGAAGAAACUGCCAUUGAUACUGAAGUUCUUGAAUCUAGUUGACGUUAGUGGAAUGUGUCAUGUAGCGGUGAAAUGCUUAGAUAUGACACAGAACACCGAUCGCGAAGGCAGCUAACGGAGCUAGUAUUGACGCUCAGGCACGACAGCAUGGGGAGCAAACAGG